GUGCAAAGGUAGCAUAAUAAUUUGUUUUUUUAUUGAAAACUGGAAUGAAUGAUUGGACAAGAAAAUUUCUGUCUCUUGCUUAUCUAUUGAAUUUUACUUUAAAGUUAAAAGGCUUUAAUUAUUAUUAGGGACGAGAAGACCCUAUAGAGUUUUAUUUAUUAUUAGGUAAAAGUUUUUAUAAUUUAUGUUUUGUUUACUAUUUAAAUUUGAUUGGGGUUGUUUCAAGAUAUAAUUAAUUCUUGAUUUUUAAUCAAAGAUUUUUGAUAAUGUGAGCUAGAUUAUUAAGUUUAAAUUAAAUUACCUUAGGGAUAACAGCGUAAUUUUUCUUUGAAGUUCUUAUUUAAAGAGAAGUUUGCGACCUCGAUGUUGGAUUAAGAUUAAUUAUUGGUGGAGGGACCAGUAGAUUGAGUCUGUUCGACUUUUAAAAUCUUACAUGAUCUGAGU
rnacentral:rRNA from 1 species